rnacentral:rRNA from 1 species
GACGAACGCUGGCGGCGUGCUUAACACAUGCAAGUCGAACGGAAAGGCCCUGCUUUUGUGGGGUGCUCGAGUGGCGAACGGGUGAGUAACACGUGAGUAACCUGCCCUUGACUUUGGGAUAACUUCAGGAAACUGGGGCUAAUACCGGAUAGGAGCUCCUGCUGCAUGGUGGGGGUUGGAAAGUUUCGGCGGUUGGGGAUGGACUCGCGGCUUAUCAGCUUGUUGGUGGGGUAGUGGCUUACCAAGGCUUUGACGGGUAGCCGGCCUGAGAGGGUGACCGGCCACAUGGGGACUGAGGUACGGACCAGACUGCUACGGGAGGCAGCAGUGGGGAAUAUUGCACAAUGGGCGGAAGCCUGAUGCGGCAACGCCGCGUGCGGGAUGACGGCCUGCGGGUCGUAAACCGCUUUCGCCUGUGACGAAGCGUGAGUGACGGUAAUGGGUAAAGAAGCACCGGCUAACUACGUG